UCCAUCGUGAGAUGAAAUCUGAAAGAAGCCCUAGGCAAAGUCUUGGUCUGAGGAACACGAACCACAUAUAAGGCUUACUUGAGACUGACGAGUUUGAUAAACAAAGUCCAACACUCCCCAAUCUCGAGGAGUAUAUGUGGCAGAUAUGUAUUAUAUGAAGGAAGUUCAUAGU
rfam:Pseudobacteroides cellulosolvens ATCC 35603 = DSM 2933 ctg1, whole genome shotgun sequence.